AUUACUUUGGCAGAAUAGUGCCUUGAAUUUAGAUUUCAAAAAUGUGUUUAAAAUACAAGUAAUA
rnacentral:tRNA from 1 species